GUAGGGAGCGAGCGUUGUCCGGAAUUACUGGGUGUAAAGGGAGCGUAGGCGGGACGGCAAGUCAGAUGUGAAAACUGAGGGCUCAACUUUCAGACUGCAUUUGAAACUGCUGUUCUUGAGUGAAGUAGAGGUAAGCGGAAUUCCUAGUGUAGCGGUGAAAUGCGUAGAUAUUAGGAGGAACAUCGGUGGCGAAGGCGGCUUACUGGGCUUUUACUGACGCUGAGGCUCGAAAGCGUGGGGAGCAAAC
rnacentral:rRNA from 1 species